rnacentral:rRNA from 1 species
UCAAGCUACAAAGGGCGCAUGGUGAAUGCCUUGGCAUCAGGAGCCGAUGAAGGACGUGAUAAGCUGCGAUAAGCUUCGGGUAGGCGCACAUAGCCUGAGAUCCGAAGAUCUCCGAAUGAGGAAACUCACAUGGGAAACCCCAUGUAUCAUUAAGUGAAUACAUAGCUUAAUGAAGGUAACCCAGGGAACUGAAACAUCUAAGUACCUGGAGGAAGAGAAAGAAAAAUCGAUUUUCUUAGUAGCGGCGAGCGAAAGGGAAAGAGCCCAAACCGGAAACUUGUUUCCGGGGUUGUGGACAUAACAUAAAAGUGGAGGCUAUUGUAACUGAAGAGAACUGGAAAGUUUCACCGUAGAAGGUAAUAGUCCUGUAAGUGAAACGAGAAGACCACGAGUUAUGAUCCAGAGUACCACGAGACACGUGAAACCUUGUGGGAAGCAGGGAGGACCACCUCCCAAGGCUAAAUACUACCUGAUGACCGAUAGUGAAGCAGUACCGUGAGGGAAAGGUGAAAAGAACCCCGGGAGGGGAGUGAAAUAGAACCUGAAACCGUGUGCCUACAACCGCUCAGAGCCCCUUAUGAGGGUGAUGAGGUGCUUUUUGUAGAACGAGCCAACGAGUUACGGUAUGUAGCAAGGUUAAGUACUUAAGGUACGGAGCCGAAGGGAAACCGAGUCUGAAUAGGGCGACUAGUUGCAUGCCGUAGACCCGAAACCGGGUGACCUAUCCAUGGCCAGGUUGAAGCGAGGGUAAAACCUCGUGGAGGACCGAACCACGUUGCUGUUGAAAAAGCAUGGGAUGAGCUGUGGAUAGCGGAGAAAUUCCAAUCGAACCCGGAGAUAGCUGGUUCUCUCCGAAAUAGCUUUAGGGCUAGCGUCGAGUAUGAGUAGUGGAGGUAGAGCACUGAAUGGGCUAGGGGGCAUAGCGCUUACCGAACCUUAUCAAACUCCGAAUGCCACAUACUUUGAGCUCGGCAGUCAGACUACGAAUGAUAAGAUCCGUGGUCAAAAGGGAAACAGCCCAGAUCGUCAGCUAAGGUCCCAAAGUGUAAGUUAAGUGGGAAAGGAUGUGAGAUUUCUAAGACAACUAGGAUGUUGGCUUAGAAGCAGCCAUUCAUUAAAAGAGUGCGUAAUAGCUCACUAGUCGAGAGAUCUUGCGCCGAAAAUGUAACGGGGCUAAACUUACCACCGAAGCUACGGGCUUGAACUUAGUUCAAGCGGUAGGAGAGCGUCGUAACCGGGCUGAAGUCGUACCGUAAGGAGCGGUGGACUGGUUACGAGUGAGAAUGUUGGCAUCAGUAGCGAGAUGUGGGUGAGAAUCCCACAGGCCGAAAACCUAAGGUUUCCUCAGGAAGGUUCGUCCGCUGAGGGUUAGUCGGGACCUAAGCCGAGGCCGAAAGGCGUAGGUGAUGGACAACUGGUUGAUAUUCCAGUACCACUACCAUCGUUAUUAUCGAUGGCGUGACGCAGGAGGAUAGUGUGUGCUAGCUAUUGGAUGCUAGUCUAAGCGUUUAGGCAGUGAGAGUAGGCAAAUCCGCUCUCAUAAUGCUGAGGCGUGAUGGGGAAGGUUCCACGGAACCGAAGUACAUGAUUCCACGCUGCCAAGAAAAGCGUCUAGAGAGAGAAGUAGUGCCCGUACCGCAAACCGACACAGGUAGGUGAGGAGAGAAUCCUAAGGCCGGCGGAAGAAUUACAGUUAAGGAACUCGGCAAAUUGACCCCGUAAGUUCGCGAGAAGGGGUGCCUACGAGAGUAGGCCGCAGAGAAUAGGCCCAAGCAACUGUUUAGCAAAAACACAGGUCUCUGCUAAAGCGUAAGCUGAUGUAUAGGGGCUGACGCCUGCCCGGUGCUGGAAGGUUAAGGGGAACACUUAGCGCAAGCGAAGGUGUGAACUUAAGCCCCAGUAAACGGCGGCCGUAACUAUAACGGUCCUAAGGUAGCGAAAUUCCUUGUCAGGUAAGUUCUGACCCGCACGAAUGGCGUAAUGACUUGGGCACUGUCUCAACUGUAAAUCCGGCGAAGUUGUAGUGCGAGUGAAGAUGCUCGCUACCCGCGAUUGGACGGAAAGACCCCGUAGAGCUUUACUGUAGCUUAGCAUUGAGUUUUGGUAUUGUCUGUACAGGAUAGGUGGGAGACUAGGAAACCAGGGCGUCAGCCUUGGUGGAGUCAACCUUGGGAUACCACCCUGACAGUACUGAAAUUCUAACUGGCGGCCAUGAAUCUGGUCACAGGACAUUGUUAGGUGGGCAGUUUGACUGGGGCGGUCGCCUCCUAAAAAGUAACGGAGGCGCCCAAAGGUUCCCUCAGAACGGUCGGAAAUCGUUCGAAGAGUGCAAAGGCAGAAGGGAGCCUGACUGCGACACCCACAAGUGGAGCAGGGACGAAAGUCGGGCUUAGUGAUCCGGUGGUACCUCGUGGGAGGGCCAUCGCUCAACGGAUAAAAGCUACCUCGGGGAUAACAGGCUGAUCUCCCCCAAGAGUCCACAUCGACGGGGAGGUUUGGCACCUCGAUGUCGGCUCGUCGCAUCCUGGGGCUGAAGUAGGUCCCAAGGGUUGGGCUGUUCGCCCAUUAAAGCGGCACGCGAGCUGGGUUCAGAACGUCGUGAGACAGUUCGGUCCCUAUCCGUCGCGGGCGUAGGAAAUUUGAGAGGAGCUGUCCUUAGUACGAGAGGACCGGGAUGGACUGACCUCUGGUGUACCAGUUGUUCCGCCAGGAGCACAGCUGGGUAGCUAAGUCGGGAAUGGAUAAACGCUGAAAGCAUCUAAGCGUGAAGCCAACCUCAAGAUGAGAUUUCCCAUAGCGUAAGCUAGUAAGAUCCCUUGAAGAACACAAGGUUGAUAGGUCGGGGGUGUAAGCAUGGUAACAUGUUCAGCUGACCGAUACUAAUAGAUCGAGGGCUUGACCAA